ACACCAGGUCACCCUGAAGGGAUGCACCCUGGGCUUCUACCCUGAGAACAUCCUGACCUGGCAGCAUGAUGUGCCCCCUCCUCCUCAAUCCUUCAUCCCUACCAUGGCAUCAUGGUGGCAUCAAUGCUGGCCUGGUUUUCCUUGGAGCUGUGUUCACUGUAGCUGUGCUGAUUGGAGCUGAAGUUGUGAUGUGGAUGAAGAAUCGCUCAGUCCUGCUCUGGAUCUUCAGUCACAGUUCAGGAAACUUCCCUGUGGCCCAGGACUAGGGGAUUUCUUCAGGGCUUCAUGGGCUGACUCCUCCCUGGUCUCACAUGAUGUUUCUUCCUGCAGUAGACAAGAAGGAAGCAGCACUCAGGCUGCAGGCAGUGACAGUGCCCAGGGCUCUGAUGUGUCUCUCAGCCUCUAACGGUGAGACCCUGGAGGUCUGCAGUGGGAGGGGCUGGGGCA